rnacentral:rRNA from 1 species
GAGUUUGAUCGUGGCUCAGAUUGAACGCUGGCGGCAUGCCUUACACAUGCAAGUCGAACGGCAGCACGGGAGCUUGCUCCUGGUGGCGAGUGGCGAACGGGUGAGUAAUGCAUCGGAACGUAUCCUGGAGUGGGGGAUAACGUAGCGAAAGUUACGCUAAUACCGCAUAUUCUGUGAGCAGGAAAGCGGGGGACCUUCGGGCCUCGCGCUCUUGGAGCGGCCGAUGUCGGAUUAGCUAGUUGGUGAGGUAAAGGCUCACCAAGGCGACGAUCCGUAGCAGGUCUGAGAGGAUGAUCUGCCACACUGGAACUGAGACACGGUCCAGACUCCUACGGAGGCAGCAGUGGGGAAUUUUGGACAAUGGGGGCAACCCUGAUCCAGCCAUGCCGCGUGAGUGAAGAAGGCCUCGGUUGUAAG